GAUGACGUCAAAUCAUCAUGCCCCUUAUGAUUUGGGCUACACACGUGCUACAAUGGCGUAAACAAAGGGAAGCGAGACUGUGAGAUGGAGCAAAUCUCAAAAAUAACGUCUCAGUUCGGACUGUAGUCUGCAACUCGACUACACGAAGCUGGAAUCGCUAGUAAUCGCGGAUCAGAAUGCCGCGGUGAAUACGUUCCCGGGUCUUGUACACACCGCCCGUCACACCAUGGGAGUCGGUAACGCCCGAAGUCAGUGACCUAACCGCAAGGAAGGAGCUGCCGAAGGCAGGACUGAUAACUGGGGUGAAGUCGUA
rnacentral:rRNA from 1 species